UACGUAGGGGGCAAGCGUUGUCCGGAUUUAUUGGGCGUAAAGAGCGUGUAGGCGGUUUGGUAGGUCCGCUGUGAAAACUCGAGGCUCAACCUCGAGACGCCGGUGGAAACCAUCAGACUAGAGUCCGGAAGAGGAGAGUGGAAUUCCUGGUGUAGCGGUGAAAUGCGCAGAUAUCAGGAGGAACACCGGUGGCGAAGGCGGUUCUCUGGGAAUGUCCUGACGCUGAGGAGCGAAAGUGUGGGGAGCGAACAGG
rnacentral:rRNA from 1 species